rnacentral:rRNA from 1 species
GAUGAACGCUAGCUACAGGCUUAACACAUGCAAGUCGAGGGGAAACGGCUUCGGAUGCUUGCUUUUGAUGGGCGUCGACCGGCGUACGGGUGAGUAACGCGAAUCCCACCUGCCCAUCACUUGGGAAUAACCUUCCGUAAGUAAGACUAAUGCCCAAUGACAUCCGCCUAAUGCUUCCGAAUGGGGUUCAAGUUAUAUCCGUGAUGGAUGGGGUUCCGUCUGAUUAGCUUGUUGGCGGGGUGCCGGCCCACCAAGGCAACGAUCAGUAGGGGUUCUGAGAGGAACGUCCCCCACAUUGGAACUGGGACACGGUCCAAACGCCUACGGGCGGCAGCGGUGAGGAAGACUGGUCAAUGAGCGAGAGCCUGAACCAGCCAAGUAGCGUGCAGGAUGACCGCACUAUGGGUUGUAGACUGCUUUGAUGAGGGAGUAAAGGGGGUCACAGGUGACUUUUUGCAGGUACCUUAUGAAUAAGGACCGGCUAAUUCCGUG